rnacentral:rRNA from 1 species
UACGGGGGGAGCAAGCGUUGUUCGGAUUUACUGGGCGUAAAGGGCGCGUAGGCGGUCGUGACAAGUCACUUGUGAAAUCUCCGGGCUUAACUCGGAACGGUCAAGUGAUACUGUCGGACUAGAGUACAGAAGGGGCAACUGGAAUUCUCGGUGUAGCGGUGAAAUGCGUAGAUAUCGGGAGGAAUACCUAUGGCGAAAGCAGGCUACUGGACCGUCACUGACUCUGAUCUGCGAAAGCUAGGGGAGCAAACAGG